CCUACGGGAGGCAGCAGUAGGGAAUCUUCCGCAAUGGGCGAAAGCCUGACGGAGCAACGCCGCGUGAGUGAUGAAGGUCUUCGGAUCGUAAAACUCUGUUAUUAGGGAAGAACAAAUGUGUAAGUAACUAUGCACGUCUUGACGGUACCUAAUCAGAAAGCCACGGCUAACUACGUGCCAGCAGCCGCGGUAAUACGUAGGUGGCAAGCGUUAUCCGGAAUUAUUGGGCGUAAAGCGCGCGUAGGCGGUUUUUUAAGUCUGAUGUGAAAGCCCACGGCUCAACCGUGGAGGGUCAUUGGAAACUGGAAAACUUGAGUGCAGAAGAGGAAAGUGGAAUUCCAUGUGUAGCGGUGAAAUGCGCAGAGAUAUGGAGGAACACCAGUGGCGAAGGCGACUUUCUGGUCUGUAACUGACGCUGAUGUGCGAAAGCGUGGGGAUCAAACAGGAUUAGAUACCCUGGUAGUCCACGCCGUAAACGAUGAGUGCUAAGUGUUAGGGGGUUUCCGCCCCUUAGUGCUGCAGCUAACGCAUUAAGCACUCCGCCUGGGGAGUACGACCGCAAGGUUGAAACUCAAAGGAAUUGACGG
rnacentral:rRNA from 1 species